rnacentral:rRNA from 1 species
AUUAAGGUUGAAUAAGUAAAAUAUUGAAUUAUUAGUAGUUAUAAUUUAAAAUUUAAAGAAUUUGGCGGUAAUUUAGUCUUGUCAGAGGAACCUGUUUAAAUUGAUCGAUAUACCUCGCAAUAUCUUACUUAUUUUUAGUUUGUAUACCAUCAUUAUUAGAUAAUUUUUAAAGAAUAAAUUAUUAAAAUUAAGUUAUAUUAAAAAAAUUAGAUCAAGGUGCAGCUUAUAAAUAAGAUUAAAUGGGUUACAAUAAAUUUUAUUUAAAUGGAAAAGAUUAGUAAGUUGAAUUUAGGAAGGAGGAUUUGAUAGUAAUAUAAGUAUAAUAAGCUUAUAAGAUAAAAGCUCUAAAUUAUGU